rnacentral:rRNA from 1 species
AUUGAACGCUGGCGGCAGGCCUAACACAUGCAAGUCGAGCGAGCGGCGGACGGGUGAGUAAUGUCUGGGAAACUGCCUGAUGGAGGGGGAUAACUACUGGAAACGGUAGCUAAUACCGCAUACCAUCAGAUGUGCCCAGAUGGGAUUGGCUAGUAGGUGGGGUAACGGUUCACCUAGGCGACGAUCCCUUGCCGGUCUGAGAGGAUGACCAGCCAAACUGGAACGGAGACACGGGCCAGACUCCUACGGGAGGCAGCAGUGGGGAAUAUUGCACAAUGGGCGCAAGCCUGAUGAAGCCAUGCCGCGUGUGUGAAGAAGGCCUUCGGGUUGUAAAGCACUUUCAGCGGGGAGGCGUUACCCGAAGAAGAAGCACCGGCUAACUCCGUGCCAGCAGCCGCGGUAAUUC